UGACUACAUAGCUUUAGUUAAAGGGUAACCUAUGCAUCUUUGAAACAUAGCAAUGUCUCAGUGAGGAGUGAAUGGUUGCUAUUGUAAAAUAAAGCAUAAUAUUUGAGCGGUAACUGUUACUUUAAAAGAAUAUGAGGACAAAUAAAGGAAAAUAUCUUUAGAAGAAAAUAAAAGGUUGCUCUAUGGCUGGUACGAUCUAUCAAUAGUUAUUCAGCUAUGUUCUUUUAUCACUCUUAGAAUGAAGUACCUUUAGAUGAGGGUUUUGAAUUUUUUACAUCAACUUUUGAAGACCACUCCAAUAUGAAAGAACUUGAUACAAAUGUUGGACAGAAAUCAACAGAAGGCUGCAUUCAAAACAUCUGUAGCUUAAAUGAGCAAACUCCACUGCUUAUCCAUGUGAAAGAAAUGUUGACAGAAUUACUUGAAGUAAAAUCUCCUGCCUGUAAUUUCAAUAAAGUAGACAAGGAAAAAGGAUGGAACCAACUCUUUAUUCCAAGCACAUCACCAGGUGAUAUAAAUUUCCAAAGAUAAUAUAACAUUGAUACUGUUUUAUAGACAUAAAUAUAAAUAUUAUGUC
rnacentral:lncRNA from 1 species